GCCGCUCCGGGCGCAGCCAAGAUGGCGCCGCCGCAACCGCCGCCGCGUCCCCACCAGCCCACGCUCCGCCUGAGCAGCGAGAGGUACCUGCGGGCACAGCCGGCGGUCAGGGUGCUGCUGCGGGGCUUCCUCAGGGAGCUGCUGCUCCGGCGACCGGCCGACGUC